rnacentral:rRNA from 1 species
GAUGAACGCUGGCGGCGUGCCUAAUACAUGCAAGUCGAACGAAUCUUCUUCGGAAGAUGAGUGGCGAACGGGUGAGUAAUACAUAGGUAACCUGCCCCUGUGCGGGGGAUAACAGGAGGAAACUCCUGCUAAUACCGCAUAGCCAUGAGCACCGCAUGGAGCUCAUGCCAAAUAUCCUUUCGGGGAUAGCGCAGGGAUGGACCUAUGGCGCAUUAGCUUGUUGGCGGGGCAACGGCCCACCAAGGCAACGAUGCGUAGCCGGCCUGAGAGGGCGGACGGCCACAUUGGGACUGAGACACGGCCCAGACUCCUACGGGAGGCAGCAGUAGGGAAUUUUCGGCAAUGGGGGAAACCCUGACCGAGCAACGCCGCGUGAGCGAAGAAGGCCUUCGGGUCGUAAAGCUCUGUUGUAAAGGAAGAACGGCGCAUACAGGAAAUGGUAUGCGAGUGACGGUACUUUACCAGAAAGCCACGGCUAACUACGUG